AACGAACGCUGGCGGCAGGCUUAACACAUGCAAGUCGAACGAGAUCUUCGGAUCUAGUGGCAGACGGGUGAGGAACACGUGGGAACAUCCCUUUCAGUUCGGAAUAACGUUGGGGAACUAACGCUAAUACCGGAUACGUCCUUCGGGAGAAAGAUUUAUCGCUGAAAGAUUGGCCCGCGUCUGAUUUGCUAGUUGGUGAGGUAAUGGCUCACCAAGGCUACGAUCAGUAGCUGAUCUGAGAGGAUGAUCAGCCACAUUGGGACUGAGACACGGCCCAAACUCCUACGGGAGGCAGCAGUGGGGAAUAUUGGACAAUGGGCGCAAGCCUGAUCCAGCCAUGCCGCGUGAGUGAUGAAGGCCUUCGGGUUGUAAAGCUCUUUUAUCCGGGAAGAUAAUGACUGUACCGGAAGAAUAAGCCCCGGCAAACUUCGUGCCAGCCGCCGCCGUAA
rnacentral:rRNA from 1 species